CCUACGGGAGGCAGCAGUGGGGAAUAUUGCACAAUGGGGGAAACCCUGAUGCAGCGACGCCGCGUGAGUGAAGAAGUAUUUCGGUAUGUAAAGCUCUAUCAGCAGGGACGAAGCAAGACGGUACCUGACUAAGAAGCCACGGCUAACUACGUGCCAGCAGCCGCGGGAAUACGUAGGGGGCAAGCGUUAUCCGGAUUUACUGGGUGUAAAGGGAGCGUAGACGGUAUGGCAAGUCUGAAGUGAAAGCCCAGGGCUUAACCCUGGGACUGCUUUGGAAACUGUUAGACUAGAGUGCUGGAGAGGUAAGUGGAAUUCCUAGUGUAGCGGUGAAAUGCGUAGAUAUUAGGAGGAACACCAGUGGCGAAGGCGGCUUACUGGACAGUAACUGACGUUGAGGCUCGAAAGCGUGGGGAGCAAACAGGAUUAGAUACCCCUGUAGUC
rnacentral:rRNA from 1 species